ensembl:snRNA U2 U2 spliceosomal RNA
AUUGCUUCUUGGCCUUUUGGCUAAGAUCAAGUGUAGUAUCUCAUGAUUCUCUGAUACUUAUUCCAAGCUCUGCAACAACGCACAGCCUUCUGGUGGUAUUUUGCCUCAAUAAAGUGGGCGUAUGGUGUUCAGGAUCCAUAUA